rnacentral:rRNA from 1 species
UCCGGUUGAUCCUGCCGGACCUGACUGCUAUCGGAUUGAUACUAAGCCAUGCGAGUCUUUGCAGUAAUGCAAGGCAGACGGCUCAGUAACACGUAGUCAACCUACCCUAUGGACGAGAAUAAUCUCGGGAAACUGAGCAUAAUUCUUGAUAGAUCAUAAUGCCUGGAAUGGUUUAUGGUUAAAAUGAUUCGUCGCCAUAGGAUGGGACUGCGGCCUAUCAGCUUGUUGGUGAGGUAAUGGCCCACCAAGGCGAUUACAGGUACGGGCUCUGAGAGGAGAAGCCCGGAGAUGGGUACUGAGACACGGACCCAGGCCCUAUGGGGCGCAGCAGGCGAGAAAACUUUGCAAUGUGCGAAAGCACGACAAGGUUAAUCCGAGUGAUUUCUGCUAAAGAAAUCUUUUGCCAGUCGUAAAACCGCUGGUGAAUAAGGGGUGGGCAAGUUCUGGUGUCAGCCGCCGCGGUAAAACCAGCACCUCAAGUGGUCAGGAUGAUUAUUGGGCCUAAAGCAUCCGUAGCCGGCUUUGUAAGUUUUCGGUUAAAUCCAUGUGCUCAACG